UACGAAGGGGGCUAGCGUUGUUCGGAAUCACUGGGCGUAAAGCGCACGUAGGCGGCCUCUCAAGUCGGUGGUGAAAUCCUGGAGCUCAACUCCAGAACUGCCUUCGAUACUGAGAGUCUUGAGUCCGGGAGAGGUGAGUGGAACUGCGAGUGUAGAGGUGAAAUUCGUAGAUAUUCGCAAGAACACCAGUGGCGAAGGCGGCUCACUGGCCCGGUACUGACGCUGAGGUGCGAAAGCGUGGGGAGCAAACAGG
rnacentral:rRNA from 1 species